GACGAACGCUGGCGGCGCGCUUAACACAUGCAAGUUGAGCGAUGAAACUUUAUGAGUACCCUACGGUGAAAAGCUACAGAGGGGUAGCUGAGGACGGGGGAGUAUCACGUGGGUCAGCUGCCUUAGACAUUGGGAUAGUGCCGGUACACCGGGAUUAAUACCAAAAAAAAUCAUAAUGUCAAAUGUUAUAAUGACCAAACUUACAGUUGACUAAGAUUGAUUUGCGCCCCAUUAUCUGGUUGGUACAGUACAAGCCUACCAAGGGUACGAGGGGUCACUGGCCCGGAAGCAUGAACCGCCACACUGGAACUGAGAGAAGGACCAAACCCCCACGGGAGGCAGCAGGUGGGAAUAUUGCACAAUGGAGGGGACACUGAUGCAGCCGCGCCGCGUGAACCAAGAAGGCGUUCGAGUCGUAGAUGUCUUUUAAAUGCGAAGAUAGUGACGGUACCAUAAGAAAAAGCCCCGGCUAACUACGUG
rnacentral:rRNA from 1 species